AUGGAAUCGAUUCUCUCAUGGGUUUUCCUUGUUGCUCUUUUAAAAGGUGUCCAGUGUGAGGUGCAGCUAAUGGAGUCAGGGGGAGACCUGGUGAAGCCUGGGGCAUACCUGAGGCUCUCCUGUGCAGCGUCUGGAUUCACCUUCAGUAGCUACAAGAUGAACUGGUUCCGCCAAGUUCCAGGGAAGGGCCUGCAGUGUGUCACAUGGAUUAGAUAUGAUGGAAGUAGCACAAGCUACAAAGACUCUGUGAAGGGUCAAUUCACUAUCUCCAGAGACAACAGCAAGAACACACUGUAUCUGCAGAUGAACAGCCUGAGAGCAGAGGACACAGCCGUGUAUUAUUGUGUGAAAGACACACUUAUCUAUGUGUAUGGUGCAAGAGAAUG